rnacentral:rRNA from 1 species
AUUGAACGCUGGCGGCAGGCUUAACACAUGCAAGUCGAGCGGGGGAGGUUGCUUCGGUAACUGACCUAGCGGCGGACGGGUGAGUAAUGCUUAGGAAUCUGCCUAUUAGUGGGGGACAACAUUCCGAAAGGGAUGCUAAUACCGCAUACGCCCUACGGGGGAAAGCAGGGGAUCUUCGGACCUUGCGCUAAUAGAUGAGCCUAAGUCGGAUUAGCUAGUUGGUGGGGUAAAGGCCUACCAAGGCGACGAUCUGUAGCGGGUCUGAGAGGAUGAUCCGCCACACUGGGACUGAGACACGGCCCAGACUCCUACGGGAGGCAGCAGUGGGGAAUAUUGGACAAUGGGCGCAAGCCUGACUCAGCCAUGCCGCGUGUGUGAAGAAGGCCUUCGGGUUGUAAAGCACUUUAAGCGAGGAGGAAUGGCUCUUGGUUAAUAACCUUGAGCAGUGACGUUACUCGCAGAAUAAGCACCGGCUAACUCUGUGCCAGCCGCCGCAGUAAGAC